rnacentral:rRNA from 1 species
AGUGAACGCUGGCGGCAGGCCUAACACAUACAAGUCGAGCGGCAGCGCGUCCGACCACCCUCGGGUGGUCGGAUGGCGGCGAGCGGCGGACGGGUGAGGAAUGCAUCGGAAUCUGCCUCGUUGUGGGGGAUAACGUAGGGAAACUUACGCUAAUACCGCAUACGACCUACGGGUGAAAGUGGGGGACCUUCGGGCCUCACGCGAUGAGAUGAGCCGAUGCCGGAUUAGCUAGUUGGCGGGGUAAAGGCCCACCAAGGCGACGAUCCGUAGCUGGUCUGAGAGGAUGAUCAGCCACACUGGAACUGAGACACGGUCCAGACUCCUACGGGAGGCAGCAGUGGGGAAUAUUGGACAAUGGGAGCAACCCUGAUCAACCAUGCCGCGUGUGUGAAGAAGGCCUCGGUU